GACAGAGGGUGCGAACGUUGUUCGGAAUUACUGGGCGUAAAGCGCAUGUAGGCGGCAGCGCAAGUCGGGCGUGAAAUCCCACGGCUCAACCGUGGAAGUGCACUCGAAACUGCGCAGCUAGAGUCCUGGAGAGGAAGGUGGAAUGCUUGGUGUAGGGGUGAAAUUCGUAGAUAUCAAGCGGAACACCGGUGGCGAAGGCGGCCUUCUGGACAGUGACUGACGCUGAGAUGCGAAAGCGUGGGGAGCGAACCGG
rnacentral:rRNA from 1 species